AUCAUUUGGAAAUCUUACCAGAAUGGAAAGCCUGUUGAUUUGACUUCAGAGCUCUAUAUCACUUCUUCGAAUGUCAUUCAGCCAGGAGAUGACAGCUGUCCGGUGAACACAGAGAGCACAGUGACACUGAAAGCCAACAUAAAACAUCAAAAUAUAACAUUGGCUUGUUUUGUGGUCAAUCCAGACGUCCAGCCUACAGCACCAGAUAACUGUAUACCAUCGACUAAUUUAUGUAGUGAGACCAAACAAGUCAAUGUCUAUCGUGUGCAACAACCAGAUCCUGUGGUAGGCGCUGGACCAAAC
rnacentral:sRNA from 1 species